GGUUUUUUGAAAAAAAAUAAAAAAUCUGACCUGCCCGGUGAUAGAUUUAACGGCCGCGGUAAAUUAACUGUGCUAAGGUAGCAUAAUAAAUUGUCUAUUAAUUGUAGACUAGAAUGAAGGGUUUGACUUAAAAUCAAUUGUCUUGAUAAAAAAUUGAAUUUUUUAUUUUUAUGAGGAGAUAAAAAUGAAAUGGUGGGACGAGAAGACCCUAUUGAGCUUUAUAAAUUAUUGGUUUAUUAUGUGUAGGUAUUAAAAAUUAAGAUUUUAUUUUGCUGGGGCGGUGAAGAUGAAUUAUAACCAUUUAAAAAUUAAGUAUUAAUAGGUAUGGAUGGAUCCAAAAGUUUUGAUUGUAAGACUAAGUUACUGUAGGGAUAACAGCGUAAUUUCUUCUUGAAGUUCAAAUUUAUGAAGGAGGUUGCGACCUCGAUGUUGGUUUAGGAUGUCUUUUAGGUGAAGUAACUUAAAAAGAUAGUCUGUUCGACUAUAAAAUUCCUAUA
rnacentral:rRNA from 1 species